GUCAGGAUGGCCGAGCGGUCUAAGGCGCUGCGUUCAGGACUCUGUGGACGUGGGUUCGAAUCCCACUCCUGACA